rnacentral:rRNA from 1 species
CAGUAGCUGCGGUAAUACAGAGGGUGCGAGCGUUAAUCGGAUUUACUGGGCGUAAAGCGUGCGUAGGCGGCUUUUUAAGUCGGAUGUGAAAUCCCUGAGCUUAACUUAGGAAUUGCAUUCGAUACUGGGAAGCUAGAGUAUGGGAGAGGAUGGUAGAAUUCCAGGUGUAGCGGUGAAAUGCGUAGAGAUCUGGAGGAAUACCGAUGGCGAAGGCAGCCAUCUGGCCUAAUACUGACGCUGAGGUACGAAAGCAUGGGGAGCAAACAGGAUUAGAUACCCGGGUAGUCCCUGUCUCUUAUAA